rnacentral:misc_RNA from 1 species
GGAUUUGGGAAAGCAUAUUGGGCUUCAUACGAAAUUAACCCAAGGAGCCUGCAAUUAGACUUCUUCUGUGAGCUCUACGCAGGUUUCGGGGUUUCAUACGAAAGCAGUCAUUUUUCUAUCCUUAUUUGACUUGGGGAUUUCUAUCCUUGCCCAACUUGCAGGUUGAAUAAGAAAACGAUGUUUAAUCGUUCAUGGGAAACAAGAUAUGGAUAUAGAAUACAAUAAUCGAAUCCAAAGGCAAAUACAUAAUAAUCUAGUAAUCGUAUUUAAAAUUGACAUAUGAUUUCACAAUAUCUUUCACACAUUAAUUAUUCACUUAAAAAUCUAGACAAAUUUUGCGCAAACAAUAACAAUCAAAUUACAGGAUCAGUAGAAAGAAGACUAAACAUCACCGUAUCUCUAGACCUUCCCUUCCGAACAAAAUACUUUCUUAGGACACCUUCUCUCAUGAAGCCAGCUUUCUCUAGUACCCUUUGAGAGCCCACGUUUUCUACAUCUACCAAGGCUUCAAGUCUCUCCAUUUCUGGCCGUUGGCUAAAAAUGGUUUUGGCCGCCAUUUUCACUGCCCUUGUUGCAAUCCCCUUGCCCCAGUAUUGAGCAGCCAGAACAUAGCCAAGUUCACCUCUGCAUAUAUCACUACCUGAAUUCUUUGUCACUGAAAUGGCACCAAUAGGCCUUUUGUUAAGGCAUAUUGCCCUCAACCAUGGGUGGGGUAUAGCAGUGUUUUUUAUAUAGUCUAUGCCAUCUUCUUUGCUAGUGUAAGGAUGGAAAGUACAAAAAUAAGUCACUCUCUCAUCAGAAGCCCAGACCAUGAAAUCAUCGACAUCGGAGACCUCGAAUGGACGAAGAGAGAUGUCGGACAAUUCGUUACCAUCUUCUCGCAAGUCUGUUGUUGGUGCAGAAGAACCUUUCUCCAUUUUGUACACUAGGAAAAUAGAUUAGUAAUCGUAGAGUUAACACCCAAG